rnacentral:lncRNA from 1 species
GGCCGAGGGAGGAGGAUAGGUCGGAGCCUAGGAAGGAAAGUGGGGUCUGUGCCUGUGCCGGAGGCUCAGGGCGUGGGUGUAACUGGAGGGGCGCGCAGCAGCUCGGAAGAGGACGGAAGCAAGGACAGGACGCCCUCAUCCCCAUUCCCGGGCCAAACUGCGGCGGCUGGGUGUCGGGAUCCCGAGAGGGGCCAGGGGAUGGGAAGUGGGGACAGAGGGCGGUAGGACCGGGCGGGAGCUUCCUUGGCCAGGGAGGGAACCGGGAGGGAGGAAAGGGGGCAGGGAGAGAGAAAAAAGGAAGGUGAUGGGAAGCGGGUGUCUGCACUCGCUGCGCCGCACGAGUUGCACGGCUCCGGCGGACCGGACCUGGACUCUAUAAAAGGAGCCCACCUGCUCCGCGGCUCACACGCUCCUCCCGGGCUGGCGCACGCAGCCUCCCUCCAGCUCUCCCAGACACCUGCCCCUGGCGGGCGUGCCGCGCCGGGUCCCCCAGACCCGUGCGCCCAGAGACAUGGCUCCGAGUGGUGCCCGUGGGACCGAGGUGGCGGCGGCGCGGUGCAAGCAGCCGCAGCCCCGGGCCCCGAGUCCCCCCUCGUGCGGCCCCGUCUCCGCGGGGCAGCUCGCCGGAGUGGCCAGCGCUUGAAAAGAAGGGAGGGCAGAGCUCUGGCGCAAAGAGCGGCGCAGCCCGGCUCGCAGACUUCACCCCACCCAGCUCGGGCGGCUGCAGCUGCCGCAGGAAACUGCCCCAGGCUGGGGAGGGGGGCGGGAACGCAAGACCAAGACUCCUCGCGGGCCUGCAAGCUUUGGUCUCGACAGCUGAGAAACUCCUGUGGGCCAAAAAUGAAAAUAUAUUUUCAUUGGCUGUGGUAACAAAUAACAUUUUCCAUAUUGUUUAAUUGCACAAAUUUUCACACGAAUAUAUGAAUGUAUUCUCAUUCCAAAAAUACCAAUAUUGUCUUGUGUUUCUAGGAAUUUUAGAGUUUCCUUUUUAAAAAUGAACACUGCACCCAUGACUGAGUGGUUAAGUUCAAGAGAUUUCCUAUGGAACAAUAUUCUUCACUUUUCCUCUCUAUCUUAGCUUUUAUCUUCUUUACCCAGGAAACCCUGAGAGUACUAUAAUUCAUUCAAGCAGUAAAAUCUCAGAUUAUGUGUUUUGGUGGAGUUGCUGUGACUGAAAAUUGCCUUUGGUAUACCACCUUUCAACAAAUGUGUAAUUGGAAAUGAAAUUUAGGAAAAUAAUGAAAUAAAAGUCCUUUUUGUGUUCUAAAAA